rnacentral:rRNA from 1 species
UUGGAGGAUUUACCCUUUCAGUGCGCAGUUAACACAAUAAGUAAUCCCACCUGGGGAGUACGACCCGCAAGGUUGUAACUCAAAGGAAUUGACGGGGCCCGCACAAGCAGUGGAGUAUGUGGUUCAAUUCGACGCAACGCGAAGAACCUUACCAAGUCUUGACAUCCCUUGACGAACAUAGAAAUAUGUUUUCUCUUCGGAGCAAGGAGACAGGUGGUGCAUGGUUGUCGUCAGCUCGUGUCGUGAGAUGUUGGGUUAAGUCCCGCAACGAGCGCAACCCUUAUGGUCAGUUACUACGCAAGAGGACUCUGGCCAGACUGCCGUUGACAAAACGGAGGAAGGUGGGGAUGACGUCAAAUCAUCAUGCCCUUUAUGACUUGGGCUACACACGUACUACAAUGGCGUUAAACAAAGAGAAGCAAGACCGCGAGGUGGAGCAAAACUCAGAAACAACGUCCCAGUUCGGACUGCAGGCUGCAACUCGCCUGCACGAAGUCGGAAUUGCUAGUAAUCGUGGAUCAGCAUGCCACGGUGAAUACGUUCCCGGGCCUUGUACACACCGCCCGUCACACCAUGAGAGCCGGGGGGACCCGAAGUCGGUAGUCUAACCGCAAGGAGACGCCGCCGAAGGUAAAACUGGUGAUUUGGGUGAAGGU